AUGAUAUUUACUAUACCUGGGAUUGUUUACCCGCGGCAGGAACUGUCCCACGAGGUUACGAGUGUAGAUGUCUUCUCCUGGAUAAGCUGUCUGGAUCUUCGUACUCUUGCUGUGCUCACAAACUCCACCCUGUCCAGCUAAAGCCAUCCGCAUGGUGUAUCCUUCAAUUUCUUGAUACCUGAAGGAGGCAAUGAUCAAUUGCCCUACUACAAGGUAAAAUCAGUACUACCAGCUGAUUCAAAUAUUACUAUUACUAGCCAAAAGGAAAUCGAGGAUAAGCUAAAUUUUACCACUCCAGAAGGAAACUUUCUUUGGGCACUCCGCAAUGAAUUGUCACCAACCAUUAUCACAACAACUCAGCUCUCGCGAAAGAGAUAUGUUUAUAUCUUAGAAGACUCAAUCAUAAAGGGAAAAAUUGAAGACCUUGUUCGCAUUGAUUUAGGCAGUUACGUCAUCGGUGCUGCUGAAGAUUGUAGCAAGCGCCUUGGUGAUUACAUCAGUAUGGAUGUUCUGAAUGCUGUUCAAAGAAUGGCUUCAAAAGGUUUGGUAUAUGAACCUUAUGACAAGAACGCGUGCUUACUUGAUUUUGAUGUGCUUCUGGUGGAGCCACGUAAUCUAAAGAGGAAUCUGAUUCACUCUAUCGCAUUCUGGUCUAAGGUUGUCAACGUAGCUAAUCAAAGGGACAGAAUCAGGUUGGCAAUGACUAUAGCCUUCUAUGAAAAUUAUCUAAAGCUUCCAACAAAUUGGAAGCGUGCAAAUGCUAACACAGAUAUUGUCUACUACGAUGGACCCAAGAAUGUUUGCUCUGAAGAUGACGGUCAGCAUCAAGAAAAAGGCUCCGGCAAGACCUGGCAACAGUACCUUGGUCAGAAGUCUGAAGCCAUACUGAGCACCUGA
rnacentral:rRNA from 1 species